CCUACGGGUGGCAGCAGUGGGGGAUAUUGCACAAUGGGGGAAACCCUGAUGCAGCGACGCCGCGUGAGUGAAGAAGUAUUUCGGUAUGUAAAGCUCUAUCAGUAGGGAAGAAAAUGACAGUACCUGCCCACGAAGCCCCGGCUAACUACGUGCCAGCAGCCGCGGUAAUACGUAGGGGGCAAGCGUUAUCCGGAUUUACUGGGUGUAAAGGGAGCGUAGACGGUUAUGUAAGUCUGGAGUGAAAGCCCGGGGCCCAACCCCGGGACUGCUUUGGAAACUGUGGAACUGGAGUACAGGAGGGGCAGGCGGAAUUCCUGGUGUAGCGGUGAAAUGCGUAGAUAUCAGGAGGAACACCGGCGGCGAAGGCAGCCUGCCGGGGUGCGACUGACGCUGAGGCUCGAAGGUGUGGGUAUCAAACAGGAUUAGAUACCCCAGUAGUC
rnacentral:rRNA from 1 species